AUAUAUCAACCUCCUCAGGUUUCUUACUUGUUGAGUGUUUGGAUGUGGGGGCUCUUUUUUGCUGGUCUCUUUUGAGGUCGGCUCCCCUGAAAUGCAUUAGCGGAACAAUUUGUUGAAUCGUUCAUUGGUGUGAUAACUAUCUACGCUAUUGACGUGAAGCAGAGUUCAGCUUCUAACAGUCUAUUGACUUGGACAAAUUUUCAUUA
rnacentral:misc_RNA from 1 species